rnacentral:rRNA from 1 species
UACGGAGGGUGCGAGCGUUGUCCGGAAUCACUGGGCGUAAAGGGCGCGUAGGCGGCUUCUUAAGCGUGCGGUGAAAGCCCGGGGCUCAACCCCGGGUCGGCCGUGCGAACUGGGAAGCUCGAGCCCACUAGAGGCGGGCGGAAUUCCGGGUGUAGCGGUGGAAUGCGUAGAGAUCCGGAAGAACACCGGUGGCGAAGGCGGCCUGCUGGGUGGAGCUGACGCUGAGGCGCGACAGCGUGGGGAGCAACAGG